CUUCCAGCUUCCCUUUUAUGGAGGCACAGGCUGGAGAGAGUGCGACACCUAAUGGUGCCACCUGUUACAUAAGGGUAAAAUUCAAAA